rnacentral:rRNA from 1 species
GAUGAACGCUGGCGGCGUGCCUAAUACAUGCAAGUCGAGCGAACAGACGAGGAGCUUGCUCCUCUGACGUUAGCGGCGGACGGGUGAGUAACACGUGGAUAACCUACCUAUGAGACUGGGAUAACUUCGGGAAACCGGAGCUAAUACCGGAUAAUAUAUUGAACCGCAUGGUUCAAUAGUGAAAGACGGUUUUGCUGUCACUUAUAGAUGGAUCCGCGCCGCAUUAGCUAGUUGGUAAGGUAACGGCUUACCAAGGCGACGAUGCGUAGCCGACCUGAGAGGCGGAUCGGCCACACGGGAACUGAGACACGGUCCAGACUCCUACGGGAGGCAGCAGUAGGGAAUCUUCCGCAAUGGGCGAAAGCCUGACGGAGCAACGCCGCGUGAGUGAUGAAGGUCUUCGGAUCGUAAAACUCUGUUAUUGGGGAAGAACAAAUGUGUAAGUAACUAUGCACGUCUUGACGGUACCUAAUCAGAAAGCCACGGCUAACUACGUG